GAUAAGUAAUGUGRNUUGCAGAAUUCAGUGAAUCAUCGAAUCUUUGAACGCAACUUGCGCCCCUUGGUAUUCCGAGGGGCACGCCUGUUUGAGUGUCGUG
rnacentral:rRNA from 1 species